CCUACGGGAGGCUGCAGUGAGGAAUAUUGGUCAAUGGACGAGAGUCUGAACCAGCCAAGUCGCGUGAAGGAUGACUGCCCUAUGGUUUGUAAACUUCUUUUAUAUGGGAAUAAAACAGGGUAUGCAUACCCUCUUGUAUGUACCAUAUGAAUAAGGAUCGGCUAACUCCGUGCCAGCAGCCGCGGGAAUAUGGAGGAUCCGAGCGUUAUCCGGAUUGAUGGGGUUUAAAGGGAGCGUAGGUGGAUUGUUAAGUCAGUUGUGAAAGUUUGCGGCUCAACCGUAGAAUUGCAGUUGAAACUGGCAGGCUUGAGUACAGUAGAGGUGGGUGGAAUUCGUGGUGUAGCGGUGAAAUGCGUAGAUAUCACGAAGAACACCGAUGGCGAAGGCAGCUCCCUGGACUGCAACUGACACUGAGGUGCGAAAGUGUGGGGAUCAAACAGGAUUAGAUACCCGUGUAGUC
rnacentral:rRNA from 1 species